GCCCCACUGACGACCAGCUUGCACAGCCUUUCUAUAGGGUAGACGUUGUGCUCACAUUCAAGGAGACUAACCACAAAAUGUACUGGACUAUGGAGAACACUCUGCCAUGCACAGAGUCCCCCAGACUGCUAUCAAUCUCACCUAUAUAUUAUCAUACUUCAACAACAUUGGACCCUAUUUUGACAUACACUACAUCAACCCCUGCUUCCUAUACCACAGUGCCCUUUAGCUCGUACUCAACAAUGGACCAACAGUUUCUAUCAACAGAGAAAUCUCAGGAGGGCACCUCCACCUUCCCAAAAACAACAUCAAUUGAGAGGACUCAGGCUGAAGAAAAAGGAAGAAAUACAUCACCCACCAGUUCCUCACAUACACAGACCUCUGGUCCCAUAUCUACUGGAGUAAUGUGACGUCAAUGACUCCAAGUACAACAAACAAAGCAACACAGGACAAAUACCAACAGACAAACAGCACAGGUAGAAUGCCAAGGAUCGUCCGUUACAAGUCAAACAGAACCAGUAGAAUUCCAAGGAGCAGCUGCCAAAACUGCCACAAUGCAGGCAGAAUUCCAAGGAACAACCAAUAGAAAUGAAACAGCACAAGUAGAACUCCAAGGAACAUCUGUCACAAGUGAAACAUCAAAGGUGGAAUUUCAAAGAACAACCAUUGCAAGUGAAACAGAACAUGUGAAAUUCCAAGGAAUAAACACUACAAGGGAAAUAGGAGAGGUAAAAUUCCAAGGAACAACUGAUUAUAACUGACACAGUACAGGUGGGAUUCCAAGAACCAACCAUUACAAGUGACACAACACAGGUAGAAUUCCAAUGAACAACCAUCACAAGUGACACAACACAGGUGGAAUUUCAAGGAACAGCCGCUAGAAGUGCAAUAUUGCAAGUUCUUAGAAACAACCACUAGACAGGUAGAAUUCUAAGUAUCAACCACUACUAGUGAAACAGUACAGGUGGAACAACUGCCGCAAGUGAAACGAUGCAGGUGUAAUUUCCGGAACAGUGGCAAUUAGUACAACAGAUCAGGUACCAUUCCAAGAAGUGACUGUUACAGUUGAACAGGUGGAAUUCAAAGGGGUAAAUGUUACAAGUGGGACAGCAUGCGUAAGAUCCAGAGAGACAACAUCUAGAAGUGAGGCAACACAUUUGCAACUCCAAGACAGCAAACAAAUCUGAGGUUAUUUUCAACUCAUCCCCAACAACUGAGACAAAACCACAUAUUUUUAUUUGUUUUACUUCACCUUAUUUAACCAGGUAGGCCAGUUGAGAACAAGUUCUCAUUUACAACUGCAACCUGGCCAAGAUAAAGCAAAGCAGUGUGAUUACACAAGCAGAAGCAUAGCAACCUCUCUCUGCCAGCCACUGCCCCGAGGGCAGACAUUAUCCAGACACAUUCAAGCCUGCAGUUUAGUAAACAUGUCUCAAUCCAACAUGGCUUGGAGCUUGAGGGACCGAUGCUAAGAGGAAAGCUCCCACAGUGGUGGGACUAAAAAGUGGGACUAAAACGCCCGAAAAAAAGUGAUGGAAACUCAUUCAUGGUGAUGUUUUAUCCAUUGGGAUUUGUAUGCUGGGGGUGAGGUAAACAUUCAAAUUAAAUGUGUAAUUGUAGUUCAUUAUAAUCAUGUUUAAUAUUUUUCUUGUGAUAUUACUGAAAUGCAAUGGUGCAUAUUGCUUGAUACAGUAUAUCUCCUUGCAAUGCAUGGACAAAUGUGUUGAUUGUGUUGUAUUGCCUGAUGAUAGUAGCCUACAGUAGAUUUCAUACCCCUCAAUUAUACAGAAUAGUGCAUAUUAUUUUAGGGUUAUGCAUCCUGAGAGUAAUGUUGGCAUACUAUUGCGUAAGACCAUUUCAAAGUCAAGAUAAAAUAGCAAAAGACAAUAAAAUGCUCCUGUUUUCUUGCAUAAUCCAACAUCUGCUUUGAAACAGUAACAUAUAAAGUACUAGUUUAUUUUUGUUUUUAAUCAAAUAAAUUAAGCAAACCAUCUGGUCUACAUUUCACGUUUGAGGUACUCUAUGAUUUUGCAGUAGCUGCAGUCAAUUUAUUGGACAAAAGAGGGCGGUAUUGUUCAUAUUUUCUCUUGAUUUUAAAGAUGAAUGGGUUGCAUUUCCAGAGGGAAGCUCACAGUUCUGCUAAAACUGAAGGUAUUUUAAAUUUUUAUGUAAUUCUGACCUCAAUUCUGUUUUUCAUUUAUUCUUUCUUUUAAAAAACAAACAGAAAAAUACACAUUUGAUUGAACAUUUGCUCAUAUUGUAUAUAGACUUAUUUUUCUACUGUAUUAUUGGCUGCAUGUUUGUUUUACUCCAUGUGUAACUCUGUGUUGUUAUAUGUGUCGAACUGCUUUGCUUUAUCUUGGCCAGGUCGCAGGUGUAAAUGAGAACUUGUUCUCAACUUGCCUACCUGGUUAAAUAAAGGUGAAAUAAAAUAAAAUAAAAAAUGAAAGGUCUAAA